GGUUAUUUAAAUUCCUUUGCUUUUCCAUAUGUUUUAGAAUUAGCCAGUCUGUAUCUAUAGAAAAUCCUGCUGAGGCCAGAUAGGGUGGCUCAAAUCUGCAAUCUCAGCACUUUGGAAGGUUGAGGUGGGAGCGUCACUUGAGCCCAGGAGUUCAAGACCAGACUGUGCAAUAUGGGAACACAGGGAGACCCCAUCUUUACCAAAAAAAAAAAAAAAAAAAUUAGCCAGGCAAGGUGGCACAUGCUUGUGGUUCCAGCUAUUCAAGAGGGUAAAGUGGGAAGAGCACCUGAGCCCAGGAGGUCAAGGCUGCAGUGAGCCAUGAUUAUGCCACUGCAUUCCAGCCCGGGUGACAGAGCGAGACCUUGUCACAUUGAAAAAAAAAAAAAAAAACUGAGAAAAAGACAAAGAAAAGAAAGAAAAUCCCGCUAGGCUGGGUGCGAUGGCUCACGUCUGUAAUCCCAGCACUCUGGGAGGCCGACGCAGGCGGAUUGCCUGAGGUUGGGAGUUUGAGACCAGUCUGGCCAACAUGGUGAAACCCUAUCUCUACUAAAAACACACAAAAAUUAGCCAGGUGCGGUGGCACAUGCCUGUAAUUUCAGCUCCUCAGGAGGCUGAGGCAUGAGAAUCGCUUAAACCUAGGAGACGGAGGUUGCAGUUCAAGAGAUUCUCCUGCCUCAACCUCCCAAGUAGCUGGGACUACAGGCGCAUGCCACCAUGCCCAGCUAAUUUUUGUAUUUUUAGUAGAGAUGGGGUUUCACCGUGUUGGCCAGGAUGGUCUCGAUCUCUUGACCUCAUAAUCCGCCUGCCUCAGCCUCCCAAAGUGCUGCCUGGCCUUAAUCUCUUUCAUCAGCAUUUUACAAUUUUCCAUAUACAGUUCCUUCACAUUUUGCUAGACUUACACGUAUUUCUUUCUGUUCUGAAGCCAUUGUAAAUGGCAUUGUGUUGGUAAUUUCAUUUUGAAUUGUUCACUGCUAGUAUAUGGAAAUAUGACUGACUUUUCUUUUUUUACUUUAAAAUGCUGUUUUCAUGUGAUGUAUGACUGAUUUUUGUGUUGAUCUUGCUAAACUUACAGGAUUUUUUUUUUUGUAUACUUCAUGAGAUUUCUACAUAGUCCUGCCAUCUGCAAAAAGAAGUAAUUUUAUUAUUUCCUCUCCAUUCUGUAUGCUUUUUCCCCCUUGCCUUAUUGCACUGGUUAGGUCUUCCGGUAUGAUGUUGAAUACAAGUGGUGAGCAUUCCAAUUUUUACCAUUAAGAAUGUUAGCUGUGGGCUUUUUGUAGACACCUUUUAUCAGGUUGAGGAAGUUCCCUUCAUUCCUAGUUUGCUGAGUGUUUUUAUCAUGAACUAAUGUUGAAUUCUGUGAAUUUCAGCAUCAAUUUAUAUGAUCAUAUGGUUUUUCUCUUAAUAUGGUGGACUACACUGAUUGAUUUUCAAAUACUGAAGCAGCCUUGCAUUCCUGGACUUUGGUUUCCCCACUCUGUCACACACUAACUGCAUCUGCACCCAGGGCCAAGCAGCAGGACAGACAGUGGAAGGC
rnacentral:lncRNA from 1 species